UACGGAGGGAGCAAGCGUUGUUCGGAUUUACUGGGCGUAAAGGGCGCGUAGGCGGCAAUUCAAGUCACUUGUGAAAUCUCCGGGCUUAACUCGGAACGGUCAAGUGAUACUGCUUUGCUAGAGUGCGGAAGGGGCAAUCGGAAUUCUCGGUGUAGCGGUGAAAUGCGUAGAUAUCGAGAGGAACACCUGAGGUGAAGACGGGUUGCUGGGCCGACACUGACGCUGACAGCGCGAAAGCCAGGGGAGCAAACGGG
rnacentral:rRNA from 1 species